UAAGGAAUAUUGGUCAAUGGACGCAAGUCUGAACCAGCCAUGCCGCGUGAAGGAUGAAGGUCCUCUGGAUUGUAAACUUCUUUUAUCUGGGACGAAAACGGGAUUUUUAUCUCAAUUGACGGUACCAGAGGAAUAAGCACCGGCUAACUCCGUGCCAGCAGCCGCGGUAAUACGGAGGGUGCGAGCGUUAUCCGGAUUUACUGGGUUUAAAGGGUGCGUAGGUGGGCUUAUAAGUCAGUGGUGAAAUCUCCGAGCUUAACUUGGAAACUGCCGUGGAUACUAUAGGUCUUGAAUUAUCUGGAGGUAAGCGGAAUAUGUCAUGUAGCGGUGAAAUGCUUAGAUAUGACAUAGAACACCAAUUGCGAAGGCAGCUUACUACAUAUAUAUUGACGCUGAGGCACGAAAGCGUGGGGAUCAAACA
rnacentral:rRNA from 1 species